rnacentral:rRNA from 1 species
UACGGAGGGUGCAAGCGUUAUCCGGAUUCACUGGGUUUAAAGGGUGCGUAGGUGGGUUGGUAAGUCAGUGGUGAAAUCCCCGAGCUUAACUCGGGAACUGCCAUUGAUACUAUCAGUCUUGAAUAUUGUGGAGGUUAGCGGAAUAUGUCAUGUAGCGGUGAAAUGCUUAGAUAUGACAUAGAACACCAAUUGCGAAGGCAGCUGGCUACGCAUAUAUUGACACUGAGGCGCGAAAGCGUGGGGAUCAAACAGG